UCAACGGCUCUUUUCAGAGCCACCCACAGACCUCACUAAAAAGAG
rfam:Ictidomys tridecemlineatus contig091240, whole genome shotgun sequence.